rnacentral:rRNA from 1 species
UACGUAGGGACCAAGCGUUGUUCGGAUUUACUGGGCGUAAAGGGCGCGUAGGCGGCAAUUCAAGUCAGCUGUGAAAUCUCCGGGCUUAACUCGGAACGGUCAGCUGAUACUGCUUUGCUAGAGUGCAGAAGGGGCAAUCGGAAUUCUUGGUGUAGCGGUGAAAUGCGUAGAUAUCAGGAGGAACACCUGAGGUGAAGACGGGUUGCUGGGCUGACACUGACGCUGAGGCGCGAAAGCUAGGGUAGCAAACGGG